rnacentral:rRNA from 1 species
CUCAGAAUGAACGCUGGCGGCGUGCUUAACACAUGCAAGUCGCACGAGAACACCUCAGCUUGCUGGGGUAAGUAAAGUGGCGCACGGGUGAGUAACGCGUGGGUAAUCUGCCCUCGAAUCUGGGAUAACCCCGCGAAAGCGGGGUAAUACCGGAUGAAAUCCAGUUAGCUUUGGCUAUAUGGAUCAAAGGUGGCCUCUGCAUGCAAGCUACUGUUUGGGGAUGAGCCCGCGUACCAUUAGCUUGUUGGUGGGGUAAAGGCCCACCAAGGCGACGAUGGUUAGCUGGUCUGAGAGGAUGAUCAGCCACACUGGAACUGGAACACGGUCCAGACUCCUACGGGAGGCAGCAGUGAGGAAUUUUGCGCAAUGGGGGUAACCCUGACGCAGCAACGCCGCGUGAGUGAUGAAGGCCUUCGGGUCGUAAAGCUCUGUCAAGUGGGAAGAAACCCAUUCCGGCACAACAAGCCGGGGUGCUGACGGUACCACUGAAGGAAGCACCGGCUAAACUCCGUGCCAGCAGCCGCGGUAAUACGGAGGGUGCGAGCGUUAUUCGGAAUUACUGGGCGUAAAGGGCGCGUAGGCGGCCGAUUAAGUCAGAUGUGAAAUCCCGGGGCU